CUCGAGGUGGGAGGAUGCUGCUUCCACCAUGGAAGGAUCUUGCCGUGGCAGGAGGAUGCUGCUGAGGCAGGAGGAUGGAAGGUUGCUGUUGUGGCUGGAGGAUGUUUUUAUGGCAAGAGGAUGUUGUCGUGGGAGCAGAAGUGCUCGCUUGCAGCGUGAAAACCCCCGAGUGAUUAGCCAGAAGAGUUAAUUAUCCUGUCGUUAAGAGGAGAGGUGCUAAAGGGCCUCAGCAAUGGGCUCUUGGAGGGGAGGGCACCGGGUAUUUCUCAGGGGAGGGCACCGGGUGCUUCCCGGCGGGAUGGUGACUCAAACCUCCAUCCUGGAGGGGUGGAGGAUGCCAAGACGCUCCUCUGCCUGUGCAGGGGAGAGCUGGCAGAGCCUGUGUGGGAAGCUCCAUCCCCAGGAUUCAAACCAGAGGAGGAUCAAUAGACUUAUCUGAGCGGAGGAACUCGGUCUGUCAGAGCAGCUGAAUUAUUUAUGGACCUGGAGGGGCCUUUCCCGGGAGGCUGCAGAGCAUCCACCUUCACAGCCACAAUUACAGCUCUCUUUACAAAACCAA